AUUUGUUUCAAUGUUUUCUGGUUGUGUUGAUUGAGCAGAUUUCAUCAGUAAAUAUCAUCAUUGAUGCUCUCCAUCCAAUGCCUCCAAGUACUUUGCAUCGAUUACUCAAAAUUUGGCAGCGAAUUCUAUGGAAAUUAUUCUUUUAAAAUGCUUUGGACAAAGACUGACUCUUAUGGAUAAAGAUAAAAUGAUUGAAUUGGGAACAGUCCUGAUAAUGAAGACGGAUUCAAUUGCUAAAGAUGAUUCAACUCUGAUAGAGAUUGACUUUCAAAGCUUAACUGGAUAACUUGGUUCACCUCUACCUUUACGUUAUUUACAACAAGAUUUUGAUUUGAAACCAGCUAAAUUCAAGAGCUGAAGCUUUUCAUGAAGAUGACCCAAGCUUACCAAAUGCUUCUCGAAAGGAGAGAAUGGACUGGAAUGUUCAACAUUUUACCAAAUUUAUUUGAUGCAAGUGGUUCAAACUACGGACAACUGACUGUUGGUUACACUUUUUGGAGUAAAUCAAGAAGCAAUUGGUUGGAUUAGAGUCUCAGUUUAGUUUAUGUUAACCAAAGAGCAUUUGAGGUUAACCUGGAACUGCAAAUCUAUCAAUACUUUGGACAAAAAACUUGCAACUAUGAGAGAUCUCUAUUGACUCAAUACUGCCAAAAUAGAGGGAAAAUGAAAAUUUGAGUUUCGACAAAUGGACCAAAUCAAUUAUGAUACUUAUCGAGUGACUGUGAUUCUUAAUUGAUGUUUCACUCGCAACGGAUUUUCACUAUCAAAUUACAGAUUCUCAGAUUGUUUCUUGUUUCCCAUUUUCAACUGUUAAGGAUAAUUGAAACAAUAUUGGUUGUUUGAUAAACUGUGGCAACAAUUUAACCUCAUUAAGAUCCAUUUAUGAGAGUUUCAUGUUCAACAGAUGGACUUGAUUCAGUUAGGUUGAUUCAAUCAACUAGUCAACUAAAUACUAAACCAUGUAAAGUUAAUUGUGUUUACGGAAACACUAAACUUACUUGUUAAGAGGAUUGCACAAAAAAAUGGCAAAUUUUACCCUUAAUUAUAAUCCAUUUAAGCAAAUUGAUGAAAAAUGAUUGAAAAUGAUGGAAAGAGUUGUAAUUGUUACUCGUAAUGAAUAAUAGAAAAGGAAAAGGAUUCCAUGUUUUCCUGAAUCCAAUUAAACAAUCAAUUCCCUGA